rnacentral:rRNA from 1 species
GAGUUUGAUCGUGGCUCAGGAUGAACGCUGGCGGCGUGCCUAACACAUGCAAGUCGAACGGAGUUUAUGAGGAAGAAGCUUCGGCGGAAUUCUUAUAAACUUAGUGGCGGACGGGUGAGUAACACGUGGAGAACCUGCCUCUUACCGGGGGACAGCAGUUGGAAACGACUGAUAAUACCGCAUAAGCGCACGAGACCGCAUGGUCCUGUGUGAAAAAGAUUUAUCGGUAAGAGAUGGCUCCGCGUCUGAUUAGCCAGUUGGCGGGUAACGGCCCACCAAAGCGACGAUCAGUAGCCGGCCUGAGAGGGUGAACGGCCACAUUGGGACUGAGACACGGCCCAGACUCCUACGGGAGGCAGCAGUGGGGGAUAUUGCACAAUGGAGGAAACUCUGAUGCAGCGACGCCGCGUGAGUGAAGAAGUAUUUCGGUAUGUAAAGCUCUAUCAGCAGGGAAGAAAGACCUCGAAAGGAGGGAUGACGGUACCUGAGUAAGAACGCCCCGGCUAACUACGUGCCACGCCGCCC